UACGUAGGUGGCAAGCGUUGUUCGGAAUUACUGGGCGUAAAGCGCGCGUAGGCGGCUCUUCAAGUCAGACGUGAAAGCCCCGGGCUUAACUCGGGAACUGCGUUUGAUACUGUCGAGCUAGAGUGUGGAAGGGGCGAUUGGAAUUCCUGGUGUAGCGGUGAAAUGCGCAGAUAUCAGGAGGAACACCCAUUGCGAAGGCAGCUCGCUGGGACGUUACUGACGCUGAGACGCGAAAGCGUGGGGAGCAAACAGG
rnacentral:rRNA from 1 species